GACGAACGCUGGCGGCGUGCUUAACACAUGCAAGUCGAACGGAAAGGCCCUGCUUUUGUGGGGUGCUCGAGUGGCGACCGGGUGAGUAACACGUGAGUAACCUGCCCUUGACUUUGGGAUAACUUCAGGAAACUGGGGCUAAUACCGGCUAGGAGCUCCUGCUGCAUGGUGGGGGUUGGAAAGUUUCGGCGGUUGGGGAUGGACUCGCGGCUUAUCAGCUUGUUGGUGGGGUAGUGGCUUACCAAGGCUUUGACGGGUAGCCGGCCUGAGAGGGUGACCGGCCAAAUUGGGACUGAGAUACGGCCCAGACUCCUACGGGAGGCAGCAGUGGGGAAUAUUGCACAAUGGGCGGAAGCCUGAUGCAGCAACGCCGCGUGCGGGAUGACGGCCUUCGGGUUGUAAACCGCUUUCGCCUGUGACGAAGCGUGAGUGACGGUAAUGGGUAAAGAAGCACCGGCUAACUACGUG
rnacentral:rRNA from 1 species